UCUCGGCCCGCCAGGGGCUUUCCCUGCACAAGCGGCGUCUCAAGUUUGGGAAACACUGUUUUAGACCAUUGGCUUAUUGUGCUUUUCUUGUCUUAUUGUUAGAACCUAUCCAGGGGUUUGGGAAAACCCAUCUCUGUUGCUUCUCUCCGCCCAAUGAGCACCAUAUAUAAUCUAUUGUAACUAAUUGUUUUGCAGUGUUUCUGAGCCUAAUAAGCAAAGUGACACACUGCCAGCGCUGUGCGUAAUAAACUCCUGUGCUUGACUCUACACAGUGUGGAUUAUUGUUCUUUCAGUCAAAACUAUAUCACAAGGUGUCAUGGGUGCAAAAAGUUUCAACUAUGAAAGUAGUUUUUAAUUCUGCAAAGUGAAAGCACUGCAAACCAGUUAAUUCUUUUACAAAACACACUUACUGCUAUUUUUCUCACUUCCCUUAGCUUGUCAACAUUUGGUAGUGGUCACUGAAUUGUGAGCAUUCCCUAUGCUGAUUUUGGGAUCCCAUGCAUCGAAGUUAAAUAAGAUACCACCUAAUCUUGGAAAAUUAGCUAUUAAUAGCUCACUAUUACCACUGUUCUCUUGAUUUUGAAGCAACUUCUCUUUAAAACAGGAGCAUUGCAUCUGAAACUCAAUUGGCUAGUGACCAACGAUUAUCCAGGCAUUGGAUAAGAAUUUCUGACUCAAGGUCAAAGAAAUGCUGUGUUUUUCUUUGAAUCCAGUAAACACUAUCAAGGAACCUUGGAGGAAGGAGAUUGGCAUUGAAAACUCAAUGGUAUCAAGUCAGGUUAUUAGCUGAAGAAAUAAUCUCAACAUACACCAUUGGUGAAGAUACCAGCUUAAUACUACAAGUCUGCUGUAAGGAAAGAGACCAAUGCUUUGUGCGUGGGAGUGAAACAGAAUUCACGACUUGGGACUACAAAACGCUACAAAGGUCCAUUUGGGGAGUCCCCCAUAGCAGGAAAAUGGACGUGGUUACAUCUGGAUGAAGAGACCACUCGUGGUGACUUGUGAAUGACCAGCUUAGGUGAUCUACCAGAGCAUUCUGAAUCCC